UUUUGUCAUCAACUGAUUGGACAAUAGACAUUUGUUUUAGUGUACUCAGAGUGCAGUGCUUGUUGGGGCAGACAGUAUUUGAGUUUUGAUUUGCCUCCUAAAAACUAAAAUUCUUCAAAAGUUCUCUUUUUCUUGGAUUUCUAUUGGCUCUCUGAUCUGAUCCCUUAUAUUUUUACUCAUCAGGCCAGAAUUUUACUCUUCCAACAGCUUUAAGUUUGUUUCUGCUGUGCAAGACUGCUAUAUUUUUGCAGAAUAAAAAAAAUAGUGGAAAUUUCAAGAAGGUGAAAAUUUUGGAGGUGAAGGGUUUAAUUUUUAUUUAAGAAUCUUGUGAAUGAUCAUCUCAAAGUAUUCCCAGAUGUCAGAUUUUUUUCUUCUUGCUGGCUCCUUUUCAAUCAAGUUUAUUUGUGUAGCACAUUUCAGCAACAUUGAGGUUUCAAAGUGCGUCACAUAAUAAAAAACACAAAUAUAAAGUCAUAAAAUAUAGCAUAAUUAACCAUUGAGAAAACCAAUAAACAUUACAUUUUGAUGAGUGCCAUUGUCAAAAUCAUUAACACACAUGAACUACAAAAAGUUCCUUUAAUUUCUGCCACUGCUGAAGACAAAACCCCUGAUGCGAUCAAAUACAAUAACCAAUGAAGCAGCGGCUCAUCACGCUUUUAUUUUGAAAACCGACACGCAAAAUGAAGCAGUCACGUGACCCAUGCAAUGCGAGGCCUCGUUUGUUGCCAGUCACGUGGUUUUCAACAAGACAACACAAGCCUCGAAACGGGGCUUCAUCGGACACGCCCCCUUAUUACUGGGUACAAGCCUCGAAGCCUGGCUUCAGAUAGCCCAUCACUACAACAUGCUGUACACGCUCUCAUUUUAAGUAUUGCUAUUGUCAUUACUAUAAUUAUGAUUUUUCUAUUCAUUAGCCUGAAUUUUUUUUGCCCCCCUUUCCUCCCCCCCAGGUUCUUGGUGUUCAGUGUAAAUGACCUUACUAGUAUUUUGUGUUUCCUCAUGUAAAUAAGGAGUAUUUGUUGACAUGACAGUCUAUACUUUUAUUGUGAAAGGGCUUGGAACGGAAGGUGACAAACUAGACAACUGCUCGGUCAUGGCGGAGAGAGAGAGCGCGCACGGGUCGGAGCGAAAGGGAGAUAAUUACGGAGUGAUUCUAAUUUAGGUGUAGACAAUCAGUUAAUAGGCGCUUGGUUGAUGAGGGAACAAUCUCUUACGGUGUGUUCACACACAACGGCUGUAAAAUAAAGGACUGUGAACCAUCAGUUUGAGAGACCAUCCUUUCAACCGGGACGCUACAUUCAGUGUGUGAUCAAGGCAGGCAGGACAAAAAAAAAUACAUUAUGUUAUACAAUGUCAAGUUUUGAUUGCAUUUUUUUUAAAAUCCUUAAUAACUUGGCCUUAGUGUUGUGGAGUUGGGUUGUUUCUGACAGCUGACAAUCGUUCACUGGUGAAAGGCACCAGCCCUCCAUGACCCUGGUAAAGAUUAGCAGAGUGAAGAAAAUAAAAAAGCAAUUUCAAUUUUAGAGGGCGCCUGCUUCAGGUUUGAUCUGCAGUUUUUAGCAGUUGUAGGAGAGGUGGGUUGGUUAUUAGCAGAUUAUUUCUCUGAAAUAAAGACUGAUGUCAAAUACAACUUA